UACGAAGGGGCUAGCGUUGUUCGGAAUUACUGGGCGUAAAGCGCACGUAGGCGGAUAUUUAAGUCAGGGGUGAAUCCCAGAGCUCAACUCUGGAACUGCCUUUGAUACUGGGUAUCUGGAGUAUGGAAGAGGUAAGUGGAAUUCCGAGUGUAGAGGUGAAAAUUCGUAGAUAUUGGGAAAGAACACCGGUGGCGAAGGCGGCAACC
rnacentral:rRNA from 1 species